AUUGAACGCUAGCGGGAUGCCUUACACAUGCAAGUCGAACGGAGUGGCGAACGGGUGCGUAAUGUAUCGGAACGUGCCCAGUAGCGGGGGAUAACUACGCGAAAGCGUAGCUAAUACCGCAUACUAUUAGAGCGGCCGAUAGAGGAUUAGCUAGUUGGUGGGGUACAGGCUCACCAAGGCUACGAUCCGUAGCUGGUUUGAGAGGACGAACAGCCACACUGGGACUGAGACACGGCCCAGACUCCUACGGUAGGCAGCAGUGGGGAAUUUUUGACAAUGGGGGAAACCCUGAUCCAGCCAUCCCGGGUGUGCGAUGAAGGCCUUCGGGUUGUAAAGCACUUUUGGCAGGAAAGCGGUACCUGCAGAAUAAGCACCGGCUAACUACGUGCCAGCAGCCGCGGUAAUUC
rnacentral:rRNA from 1 species